rnacentral:tRNA from 4 species
GCGCUUGUAGCUCAGUGGAUAGAGCGCGUCCCUGCGGAGGACGAAGUCGUGAGUUCGAAUCUCACCAAGCGCGCCA